rnacentral:tRNA from 1 species
GCCCGGGUGGUGGAAUGGUAGACACUGGGGACUUAAAAUCCCUUGCCAGUAAUGGCGUGCGGGUUCAAGUCCCGCCUCGGGUACCA